GCUUGGGUAGCUCAGUGGUAGAGCACUUGCCCGUAAAAGGCAAAGGUCCCGAGUUCGAAUCUCGGUCCCAAACA
rnacentral:tRNA from 1 species